CACAUAUGUUCUCAUAAAAAAGAGCCAUCUCAGAACUGCAAGCUGCAUGGCACACACAACCCCAGAUUCACCCAGCAGGCGUUUGUAAGCAUCUGCAGGUUUCUCUAGAAUGUCAGUCUGCUCCCUAAAUCUCACAAGUAAAACUCUUUAGUACCUUCCCAUUGCCCUGAAGAUAAAGCCCACUCUUCUGCCCGGGGCUCACAACCCCUGCCUGUUGCCUCCUGCCCUUGUCUCCAGCCUGGUCUUUUAUCUGUCUGCUCAUCAUACAUGUUAUUUUCAUUCCCUCGGUAUCUAUGCUGUCACCCUGCUCCUAUGCACAUGGUGCUCCCUCCACCCGAAACACUCUUCGCCUUUCUUAUCACCUGAUGUAUCUUUCAGUUCUGAGUUUACAUGUCACUUCCCCCUAGAGGCCUUCCCUGACCCAGCCCCCCAGCCUUCAGUAGAUGAGCCUGUCUCACGCUUCCCUGUGUGUCUGGACCACCCCAGCAUCAUCACUGGGGUUUGAUGUUGGCUGGCUACCUUUGUGUCUCCCCCAGGGGAGAUCCGCGAAUGUGAGACCGUGCCCCUCUGGAGCACCACGUUCCCAGUGUGUAACCUGCUGCCUGGCACAUGGUUGUGCCUGGCAGGUCUUUUUUGAAUGAGUGAAGUGCCAGGUACCAUGAGAAAACCCUAGCUGGUAAAGAUCAAACCUGAGUUAGUUCUAAAUUCACAUACGGAUUUUUUUUUGCAUGACGAAAUCUAUUCUCUUUUUCCUGACAACUUCUCCACCUAGAUGUUUGGGAAAGUUGCCAUGAGAGAUAACAACCAGAUCAAUAGGAACAAUAACUUCCAGACGUUUCCCCAGGCGGUGCUGCUGCUCUUCAGGUGUGCAACAGGUGAGGCCUGGCAGGAGAUCAUGCUGGCCUGUCUCCCAGGGAAGCUCUGUGACCCUGAGUCAGAUUACAACCCCGGGGAGGAGUAUACAUGUGGGAGCAACUUUGCCAUUGUCUAUUUCAUCAGUUUUUACAUGCUCUGUGCAUUUCUGAUCAUCAAUCUGUUUGUGGCUGUCAUCAUGGAUAAUUUCGACUAUCUGACCCGGGACUGGUCUAUUUUGGGGCCUCACCAUUUAGAUGAAUUCAAAAGAAUAUGGUCAGAAUAUGACCCUGAGGCAAAGGGAAGGAUAAAACACCUUGAUGUGGUCACUCUGCUUCGACGCAUCCAGCCUCCCCUGGGGUUUGGGAAGUUAUGUCCACACAGAGUAGCGUGCAAGAGAUUAGUUGCCAUGAACAUGCCUCUCAACAGUGACGGGACAGUCAUGUUUAAUGCAACCCUGUUUGCUUUGGUUCGAACGGCUCUUAAGAUCAAGACCGAAGGGAACCUGGAGCAAGCUAAUGAAGAACUUCGGGCUGUGAUAAAGAAAAUUUGGAAGAAAACCAGCAUGAAAUUACUUGACCAAGUUGUCCCUCCAGCUGGUGAUGAUGAGGUAACCGUGGGGAAGUUCUAUGCCACUUUCCUGAUACAGGACUACUUUAGGAAAUUCAAGAAACGGAAAGAACAAGGACUGGUGGGAAAGUACCCUGCGAAGAACACCACAAUUGCCCUACAGGCGGGAUUAAGGACACUGCAUGACAUUGGGCCAGAAAUCCGGCGUGCUAUAUCGUGUGAUUUGCAAGAUGACGAGCCUGAGGAAACAAAACGAGAAGAAGAAGAUGAUGUGUUCAAAGUAAUUAUUCCACGCCUAGCUACACACUGGCCAUCUGGAAAUAGCAGGGCAGGACUCCAGUUUGGGCAGUUAAUCAGCCACAGAAGAGUCUGGAGAAUGCAGCCCAUCCCCAGGGCCUAGAGGGGCUUUCAGACCACACCCUCCCCCUCUUACAGACCCUCCCCAGGCAUCAGCACCUCUUCUAGGGCCAGGCCAGCUCUUUCCCUGAGCUUACCCAGCUUCCCCUCACUGCCUGCUUCUGAGGAGCUCGGCCACAGCCGCUGGCCCUGUGGAUGAGCAUCCUGAGUCCUUCUGGCAGCUGCCUUUGCUACCCUCCUCCUUCCCGGGCCAGCUCUUUGAUCUGCCAGCUGGCUGUCAGUCCCCCAGCCCAGAGAGCAUGCCCAACCUUGGGGCCACCAGCCAGCCCAGCUGGGUAUAAGUCACCCCAACUUGGAGCAACUGGAAGAGCACACUCGAGUGACAGCCGACAGCUUGCUCCCCAGCUCAGGAAAUCGCAGGAAAUUCGGUGUGUCAUAACCAUCAUAACCAUAAUUCCAUAGGAAAGCAAGUUCCCACCUCAACAAAUGCCAAUCUCAAUAAUGCCAAUAUGUCCAAAGCUGCCCAUGGAAAGCGGCCCAGCAUUGGGAACCUUGAGCAUGUGUCUGAAAAUGGGCAUCAUUCUUCCCACAAGCAUGACCGGGAGCCUCAGAGAAGGUCCAGUGUGAAAAGAACCCGCUAUUAUGAAACUUACAUUAGGUCCGACUCAGGAGAUGAACAGCUCCCAACUAUUUGCCGGGAAGACCCAGAGAUACAUGGCUAUUUCAGGGACCCCCACUGCUUGGGGGAGCAGGAGUAUUUCAGUAGUGAGGAAUGCUACGAGGACGACAGCUCGCCCACCUGGAGCAGGCAAAACUAUGGCUACUACAGCAGAUACCCAGGCAGAAACAUCGACUCUGAGAGGCCCCAAGGCUACCAUCACCCCCAAGGAUUCUUGGAGGACGAUGACUCGCCCGUUUGCUAUGAUUCACGGAGAUCUCCAAGGAGACGCCUACUACCUCCCACCCCAGCAUCCCACCGGAGAUCCUCCUUCAACUUUGAGUGCCUGCGCCGGCAGAGCAGCCAGGAAGAGGUCCCGUCGUCUCCCAUCUUCCCCCAUCGCACGGCCCUGCCUCUGCAUCUAAUGCAGCAACAGAUCAUGGCAGUUGCCGGCCUAGAUUCAAGUAAAGCCCAGAAGUACUCACCGAGUCACUCGACCCGGUCGUGGGCCACCCCUCCAGCAACCCCUCCCUACCGGGACUGGACACCGUGCUACACCCCCCUGAUCCAAGUGGAGCAGUCAGAGGCCCUGGACCAGGUGAACGGCAGCCUGCCGUCCCUGCACCGCAGCUCCUGGUACACAGACGAGCCCGACAUCUCCUACCGGACUUUCACACCAGCCAGCCUGACCAUCCCCAGCAGCUUCCGGAACAAAAACAGCGACAAGCAGAGGAGUGCGGACAGCUUGGUGGAGGCAGUCCUGAUAUCCGAAGGCUUGGGACGCUAUGCAAGGGACCCAAAAUUUGUGUCAGCAACAAAACACGAAAUCGCUGAUGCCUGUGACCUCACCAUCGACGAGAUGGAGAGCGCAGCCAGCACCUUGCUUAAUGGGAACGUGCAUCCCCGAGCCAACGGGGAUGUGGGCCCCCUCUCACACCGGCAGGACUAUGAGCUACAGGACUUUGGUCCUGGCUACAGCGACGAAGAGCCAGACCCUGGGAGGGAUGAGGAGGACCUGGCGGAUGAAAUGAUAUGCAUCACCACCUUGUAGCCCCCAGCGAGGGGCAGACUGGCUCUGGCCUCAGGUGGGGCGCAGGAGAGCCAGGGGAAAAGUGCCUCAUAGUUAGGAAAGUUUAGGCACUAGUUGGGAGUAAUAUUCAAUUAAUUAGACUUUUGUAUAAGAGAUGUCAUGCCUCAAGAAAGCCAUAAACCUGGUAGGAACAGGUCCCAAGCGGUUGAGCCUGGCAGAGUACCAUGCGCUCGGCCCCAGCUGCAGGAAACAGCAGGCCCCGCCCUCUCACAGAGGAUGGGUGAGGAGGCCAGACCUGCCCUGCCCCAUUGUCCAGAUGGGCACUGCUGUGGAGUCUGCUUCUCCCAUGUACCAGGGCACCAGGCCCACCCACCUGAAGGCAUGGCGGCGGGGUGCAGGGGAAAGUUAAAGGUGAUGACGAUCAUCACACCUGUGUCAUUACCUCAGCCAUCGGUCUAGCAUAUCAGUCACUGGGCCCAAUAUAUCCAUUUUUAAACCCUUUCCCCCAAAUACACUGCGUCCUGGUUCCUGUUUAGCUGUUCUGAAAUACGGUGUGUAAGUAAGUCAGAACCCAGCUACCAGUGAUUAUUGUGAGGGCAAUGGGACCUCAUAAAUAAGGUUUUCUGUGAUGUGACGCCAGUUUACAUAAGAGAAUAUCACUCCGAUGGUCGGUUUCUGACUGUCACGCUAAGGGCAACUGUAAACUGGAAUAAUAAUGCACUCGCAACCAGGUAAACUUAGAUACACUAGUUUGUUUAAAAUUAUAGAUUUACUGUACAUGACUUGUAAUAUACUAUAAUUUGUAUUUGUAAAGAGAUGGUCUAUAUUUUGUAAUUACUGUAUUGUAUUUGAACUGCAGCAAUAUCCAUGGGUCCUAAUAAUUGUAGUUCCCCACUAAAAUCUAGAAAUUAUUAGUAUUUUUACUCGGGC
rnacentral:sRNA from 1 species